GUGAGGGAGGGGGUGACUAGUGACAGAGUGAGGAAGGGGGUGACAGAGUGAGGGAGGGGGUGACUAGUGACAGAGUGAAGGAGGUGGUGACUGUCACUAGUCACCCCAGCCCUCCCUCUGGCACUAGUCACCCCCUUCCCUCCCUCACUCUGUCAAUAGUCACCCCUUCCCUCCCUCACUCUGUCACUUGUCACCCCCUCCCUCUCUCUGUCACUAGUCACCCCCUUCCUCAC